ensembl:lncRNA
UAAUCUGGGUUAUAUUAUAUCCCAAAGGGACUGCAGUUUUACAAGGUCUUUCGUCUUCUCCGCCUCCCCAAAUGACAACUCCAAGGAUUCAUGGAUGCCAAGGGGUUUGGUUGACAUCCUCAAACAACAUGAUCACAUAUAACAACAACAACAACAACAGACUGAAGAGCAGUAUCUUGGCACAGGUCUUUUAUCUCAUCAUAAUGAAAUUAUUUUUCCAAUCCACCAUUCUCAAUCAACGGUGGAUGAAUCAAUCAACCAUUCUCAAAACAGCUAACAAAACCUUCAAAAACUUCAAACAGAGCUUUGUUUUAGAAAAGACGACCGCACUGAAACCCCAGAGAAUGCCAUUUGCCUCUCAAACAAGGUAUGUGUUCCCCAAGUUUCUUUUGACACGAAAGGGUGCUUUUAGCAACUGAAAGCAUUCUUCUGUUUCUGGUUGUUCCUGCAUCCCUGAAUUUUGGAAGUAUAUGACAGCAUAUAUGGGAGCCCCCGGUGGCGUAGUGGAUUAAACCACUGAGCUGCUGAACUUGCUGACCGAAAGGUCAGUGGAGUGUGGUGGAGGCUCCUCCUUUGGAGGCUUUUAAGCAGAGGCUGGAUGGCCAUCUGUCAGGGGUGCUUUGAAUGCGAUUUCCUGCUUCUUGGCAGGUGGUUGGACUGGAUGGCCCAUGAGGUCUCAUCCAACUCUAUGAUUUUAUGAUUCUAUGAAUCUGGGGAGCAGGGUGAGCUCCCACUGUUAGCCCCAGCUUCUGCCAACCUAGCAGUUCAGAAACAUGCAAAUGUGAGUAGAUCAAUAGGUACCUCUGUGGUGGGAAGGUAAUGGUGCUCCAUGCAGUCAUGUCGGCCACAUGAGCUUGGUGGCAUCUAUGGAGAUGAGCACCAACCCCCAGAGUCGGACACAACUAGACUUAAUGUCAAGGGGAAAUCUUUAUCGUUUACUAUGGCAGCAUAGGGGAGGUGGCAGAAAUUCAGAGGCUAAAAGGGCUUCCAAACCUACCAAAGAUGUUAACUCCCGAUUUAUAUAUAAAUAUUCGCUUCUGUUUUGUGGUGGAGCAGGUCUGAGUGGUGGAGCAAGACCAUGAAAGACUAGGAUUGGGAUCUCUGCCCAGCUAAGGAAAUUGUCUGGAUGGCUUUGGGCAAGUCAUGCUGUGAAAGCAUUGGUACAGCUCCAUAUGAACAAAUCAGACCAAGAAAAUCCUAGGGUGGUGUUGCCAUAAGUCAGAGAUGACUUGACAGCACACAACAACAACAGCAACAACAAAACAACAAUUAUAUUAUUAUGAAUGUAUAAUUUGGACAUCACAGCUUCUUGAAUGGGAGGUUCUAUGAACUUCAUUUGUGUAAGGUUUGACUGGGUUACAUGAUAAACGAAGAUAGGAAUAUAACUAUUGGAUCAGCCAAGGGGCCCCUCUAGCCAACGUAGUUUCACAGUGGCCAGCUGGAAGUCCAGAAGGAAAAUACAAGUAUCUCAGCAUCCUCCUACCCUUCAGAACUUGGCAAGUGGUAUUGAUAGGCACACUGUGCCACUUGUAUGUUUAGGCACAUGGAGACACUCCAGAAUUUGUUCCAAGGUUGAGGGCUAGACUAUGCUCUUAUCCUUCCCCAGGUACAAGGAAGCACAGAGCAGAAGGAUACCGUACAGCAGGGGUUCCUGGCCUUUGGGCCUCCAGUGUUUUGGACUUAUUUAUUUAUUUAUUUACAGUAUUUAUAUUCCGCCCUUCUCACUCCGAAGGGCAAACAAUCAAUGCCCAUAACACACACCAAACAGAGACAGAGACAGACAGACACAGAGGCAAUUUAACCUUCUCCAGAGGGGAUGUUCGAUUCUGGCCACAGGGGGGAGCAGCUGCUUCAUCAUCCACUCUGACUGCACUUCCUCACUCCCGGUCGUAAAUUAGUUAAACUUGCCUCCCCACUUUUAUAAGUGGUACCUUAUUUCCUACUUGAUGGAUGCAACUAUCUUUCGGGUUGCUAGGUCAGCAGCGAGGAGGGGCUAUUUUUAAUUUUUAAUUGACGGAUGCUCACCCCGCCACGGGCUGGCCUCGAACUCAUGACCUCAUGGUCAGAGUGAUUUAUUGCAGCUGCUCAACAGCCUGCGCCACAGCCCGGCCCCGGUGGACUUCAGCUCGCACAGUUCCUAACAGCUGGUAAGCUGGCUGGGAUUUCUGAGUUGAAGCCCAAAACACCUGGAGACCCAAAGGUUGCUUGGGAACCACUGCUGUAGAAAGUAAGACAAUAAAUAAAAUGAGUCACGGCUCAGUUGUGGAAUAUAUGGAUGGCAUGCAAAAUGUCCUACUGCCUCAUCACACCAGAGCAUGGAUCCACUUUAAAUCUAGUUUCUGCCUUCUGCAGAUUUCUGGGGUUUGUAGUUUGGUGAGGCCCAGGACUUGUCUGGCUGAGCUAUUUAAAGGCUCCUCCCUAAAGUGGAUUUAAAGUGGAUCCAAGCUCUAGUGUGAUGAGGUCUUACUACAUACUUUUGGUAUGUUCAGAUGGGAAGACUCCUGUCUGAGGCACUCUAAAGGGCCACUGGGAGUCAGUGCAAAUAAGACGGGAAUUUGAAUGAUGCAAAAGUAGUCUCUAUAUGCUGUCCGUUAUUGCCUUUCCUCUUGCUUCCUCAAGCUUCCCACAAACAAAGGAAGAUGGACAGUGGGAUUAGGAAGGGUCUGCUCAGAAUGCGUGAUGUGUCAGACCCCUCUAACCCCUCCAGUUCAUUCAAGUGAGUUGUCAUGUGACAGUCUCAGUCUGAAUGGAUUGAGAAUCCCCUAGACAGGUGGCAAUGCCAAUCACAACUUCCUGUUGUUACUCUUGUAAAAAGCUUCAGCUCAGACCUCUGGUUGUUUGACUUCUUGAACCAAUUAGUCAAAUGUUGCUUGUCCAUGAGAAUAAUAGUUAGGGAGCAGCAGCAAGAGAGUCUUGUCCUGAAAGACUUAAUGGAUGCAUCUACACUGUAUAAUUAAUGCAGCUCAACACAACUUUAACUCUCUUGGCUCAGUGCUAUGGAAUUAUGGGAGUUGUUGUUUUGCAUGGUCUUUAGCUGUCUCUGCAAAAGAGUGCUGGUGCCUCACCAAACUACAAAUCCCAGUGUUCCAUAGCAUUGUGUAGAUGCACACAGUGAUGUAUAUUUCAGUACAAACCUUUCUGGAUUAGAAUCCACUAUGGAUCAGUGUGGAAAGGAUGUAUGUCCUUUUAGACUGGCCAGAGGCAGCAUUUCUUCCAGAUGUGGCUGAACAGCAACACAUGACAUAGUGGUGAGGAAUGCUGGAAGAUGCAGUCCAAUAACAUUCAGUGCCCAGCAGGAUCCCUACCCUCAUUGUGAAACAUUUAUCUCUCUUGUGACAUGAUAGUCAAGCAUUCACAUCACUGGAACAGGUCAACAUAGAGGAAGCCCCCGUUCAACUGGUUGCCUUCUUGAUUCUUGAAAGAAGUUGGGGAUCCUCUGGUGGCCCACAUUUCAAGCACAGUGGAGGCCCCCCAGUCCAAGUGAAAUGUGCCACCGCUUCCCAGGAACUUACCUUUCUCUUUGCAGGAGCUCUAUUACGUUCUGCCCAUUACAACUGUAUUUCUUUUUUGCUUUUUGAUCACAAGGCAACACAAGUCCAUUGCAGCCAACUAAUUAAUCUUGCUCCUUGCUUUCUUGGAUUGACUUUAGGGAUCCAUUCUGGCUAAGUCCAAUGACAGAUGCCUAACCCUUUUCUGUUUUUCUGUUGCAACAGCCCUCCCCCCCAAAUAUCUCAACCAUCUGGUCGUACAUGAGCUUGAGCAGCUCAUCCCUUCUUAGGAUCAGCAUAGGUCAAAGCAAUAUUACUGGAAAUAGAAGCCCAAAGAGGGUCAGUCCUGGGUUCUGCUAGUUUCUUAUUGCAUUUCCCAAACUACAGCAACUCCCCAAUUGUGCAGGAACCUAUAGCUGACUUCAGUUCCAUUUAAAGUUCAAUGGAACGAUUGCCAGCUUCUAACUUGCUUUCUCGUUAACUUGAUUUAAUUGAAUUGAUUUGCACAGUUGUGUUUUAUACCAGUUACCCAAGGACACUAAAUUUAAAUGCAUUUCUAAAUGGUGAAAUGCACUGACUUUACAAAGGCAUGUACUGUAUAUACUCGAGUAUAAGCCGACCCGAAUAUAAGCUGAGGCAUCUAAUUUUACCACAAAAAACUGGGAAAACAUUGACUCCAGUAUAAGCAGAGAUACCAAUAAAAUUACAUUAAUUGAGGCAUCAGUAGUUUAAAUGUUUCUGAAUCUUUACAUCAAACUGUAAUUUAAGAUAUGACUCUGAUUAAAUCAUUAUUUUCAUCUUCAAUGUAAAUGUGCUUAUGUAUCCUUUUAAUAAUAAUAGAGUGAAAUAAUAAAUGUAAUAAUAAUAAUAGAUGCAGUAAAAUAAUAAAUGUAAUAAUAGAGUAAAAUAACAAAUGUAUUAAUAAUAAUAAAAAUAGAGUAAAAUAAAUGUAAAAGUAGCAACAAUAAUAGAGUAAAAUAAUAAAUGUAACAAUACCAAUAAUAAUAGAGAAAAAUAAUAAAUAUACCAUAUAUACUUGAGUAUAAACCGGGCUGAAUAUAAGCCCACCAGGGCCCUCACCUGAGUAUAAGCUGAGAAGGGUUUUUUUUCAGUCCUAAAAAAGGGCUAAAAAACUAGGCUUAUACUCGAGUAUAUACAAUAAGUAUUCUGGGAAGGGAAUGCCGCAGUAUGGUUGAAAAUAAUAAUAAAAAAGAUUGAUAUAAAGUUUUCACAAACUACUGGGCUAGAAAGAAAAAUUCAGAUCAAAAUUCAGUGCAUGAAAAGAACAGAAAAAUGCAUGGAAUGUAACAUUAUUCUCUGAUUAGCAACUGUAUUCAAGGAAGAGACCAUGCCAUCAUUUUAACAUUUCAAGUUGCUUCUAGACAAAGCUCUUAUUGUGCAAUUGUACUGCACCACUCACAGAAUUGCACAAGGGGUCAUAGUCCUACUGGUUCUCCCAUCUUUUUUUUCCUUAGGAAAAAAAAAUCAAGGUAAAAGUGGGAUGGCUGCAGUAUAUAUUUUCACAUUUAACACAGCAAUGCUUCAUAUAAAACCAUUCUACAUAAAAGGAGUCCUUCAGUUAACCAAGUUUUUGAAGAACAAAGGAUGU